rnacentral:rRNA from 1 species
GACGAACGCUGGCGGCGUGCUUAACACAUGCAAGUCGAACGGAAAGGCCCUUCGGGGUACUCGAGUGGCGAACGGGUGAGUAACACGUGGGUGAUCUGCCCUGCACUUUGGGAUAAGCCUGGGAAACUGGGUCUAAUACCGAAUAGGACCACGCGCUUCAUGGUGUGUGGUGGAAAGCUUUUGCGGUGUGGGAUGGGCCCGCGGCCUAUCAGCUUGUUGGUGGGGUAAUGGCCUACCAAGGCGACGACGGGUAGCCGGCCUGAGAGGGUGACCGGCCACACUGGGACUGGGAUACGGCCCAGACUCCUACGGGGGGCAGCAGUGGGGAAUAUUGCACAAUGGGCGCAAGCCUGAUGCAGCGACGCCGCGUGAGGGAUGACGGCCUUCGGGUUGUAAACCUCUUUCAAUAGGGACGAAGCGCAAGUGACGGUACCUAUAGAAGAAGCACCGGCCAACUACGUG